ACUAACGCCAUUUCAAAGAUGCUUUUAACAACUUCUUGCAUUGUGAAUGGUGGAACAUUCAUGACCGGAUCGACACCUC
rnacentral:lncRNA from 1 species